ACACAGGUGCUGCAUGGCUGUCGUCAGCUCGUGUCGUGAGAUGUUGGGUUAAGUCCCGCAACGAGCGCAACCCUCGCCCUUAGUUGCCAGCAUUGAGUUGGGCACUCUAAGGGGACUGCCGGUGAUAAGCCGAGAGGAAGGUGGGGAUGACGUCAAGUCCUCAUGGCCCUUACGGGCUGGGCUACACACGUGCUACAAUGGUGGUGACAGUGGGCAGCGAAGGAGCGAUCGCGAGCUAAUCUCCAAAAGCCAUCUCAGUUCGGAUUGCACUCUGCAACUCGAGUGCAUGAAGUUGGAAUC
rnacentral:rRNA from 1 species